CCGUAUUGCUUUGGCAGUACGCUGGCUUCUUAGAGGGACUAUCGGCUCAAGCCGAUGGAAGGUUGAGGGAAUAACAGGGCUGGGAUGCCCUUAUAUGGUCUGGGCCGCACGCGCGCUACACUGACAGAGCCAGCGAGUACUCCCUUGGUCGGAAGGACCGGGGAAUCUUGUUAAACUCUGUCGUGCUGGGGAUAGAACAUUGCAAUUAUUGCUCUUCAACGAGGAAUCCCUACUAAGCGCAAGUCAUCAUCUUGCGGUGAUUACGUCCCUGCCCUUUGUACACACCGCCCGUCGCUACUACCGAUUGAAUGGCU
rnacentral:rRNA from 1 species